UACGAAGGGGGCGAGCGUUGUUCGGAAUUACUGGGCGUAAAGGGCGCGUAGGCGGCCGAUCAAGUCAGAUGUGAAAGUCCUGGGCUUAACCUGGGGACUGCAUUUGAUACUGAUUGGCUAGAAUGCAGGAGAGGAUAGCGGAAUUCCCAGUGUAGAGGUGAAAUUCGUAGAUAUUGGGAAGAACACCGGUGGCGAAGGCGGCUAUCUGGACUGUGAUUGACGCUGAGGCGCGAAAGCGUGGGGAGCAAACAGG
rnacentral:rRNA from 1 species